rnacentral:rRNA from 1 species
UACGGAGGAUGCGAGCGUUAUCCGGAUUUAUUGGGUUUAAAGGGUGCGUAGGCGGGAUGCCAAGUCAGCGGUAAAAAUGCGGUGCUCAACGCCGUCGAGCCGUUGAAACUGGCGUUCUUGAGUGGGCGAGAAGCAUGCGGAAUGCGUGGUGUAGCGGUGAAAUGCAUAGAUAUCACGCAGAACCCCGAUUGCGAAGGCAGCCUUCCGGCGCCCUACUGACGCUGAGGCACGAAAGUGCGGGGAUCGAACAGG